GGAGGGUGCAAGCGUUAUCCGGAUUUAUUGGGUUUAAAGGGUCCGUAGGCGGACUUAUAAGUCAGUGGUGAAAGCCUGUCGCUUAACGAUAGAACUGCCAUUGAUACUGUAAGUCUUGAGUAUAUUUGAGGUAGCUGGAAUAAGUAGUGUAGCGGUGAAAUGCAUAGAUAUUACUUAGAACACCAAUUGCGAAGGCAGGUUACCAAGAUAUAACUGACGCUGAGGGACGAAAGCGUGGGGAGCGAACAGGGAUUAGAUACCCUGGUAGUCCACGCCGUAAACGAUGCUAACUCGUUUUUGGGCUUUAGGGUUCAGAGACCAAGCGAAAGUGAUAAGUUAGCCACCUGGGGAGUACGCUCGCAAGAGUG
rnacentral:rRNA from 1 species